AAUCUUAUAUUUUAUAUAAAAUAUAAAAUUGCAAGUUUUAAGAAGAGUAUUCUAAGAUUU
rnacentral:tRNA from 1 species